rnacentral:rRNA from 1 species
UACGAAGGGUGCUAGCGUUGGUCGGAAUUACUGGGCGUAAAGCGCGCGUAGGCGGCUUAACAAGUCAGGGGUGAAAUCCCACGGCUCAACCGUGGAAUUGCCUUUGAAACUGUUAAGCUUGAGUGUCGGAGGGGAUAGCGGAAUUGCUAAUGUAGAGGUGAAAUUCGUAGAUAUUAGCAGGAACACCGGUGGCGAAGGCGGCUAUCUGGACGACAACUGACGCUGAGGCGCGAAAGCGUGGGGAUCAAACAGG